UAGCAGGAGGAGGUGUGCAUUCUGAAGCCUGGGACAACAGACUUAGGACCAACUGACUUUGUUACUUGGAGGUUACUAUCCUCAGUGAGCUAUGAAGACAGCAAAAAACAAUGACAUUCAAGCUCAAGGCCACACUGAAAGAUGUGGCAUUAGUGGCAGCUCUGAAAGCAGAAGUGAAACUCCAAAGACGAGGCACAAAUGUAGCAGAAUUCCCAGCACCAAGGAAGUUGGAGCAGGAAAGAAUUGCAAAGUUUGAGAGCAGACUGGGAUACACAGUAUGUGUCCAUGAGUGCCAGUGCCCUCCAAGGCCAGGGGCCUCAGAUCCCCCAGGAGAUGGAGUUACAGUUUUAAGUUACCCAAUGUGGAUGCUGGGACUCAAACUCAGGUCCUCUGAAAGAACAGUUAAGCAUUCUUACCUGCAGAGCCUUAUCUUCAGCACUCUUAACAGUCAUUUUACAACUGAGAAAGUAAAAUUCAAAGGAGCUUUGAAAACUGAUAAAAUUAAAAGCUAACAGAAUCAUAACAA